ensembl:ncRNA K01A6.21 ncRNA
AGAAUCACAGUGAUGACAGCGACUUUAGAAACAAAAAUGAAGGACAAGAAGUAGAAGAAGGGGACGGCUGUUUGCAAUUUGUACUCGAGGGAAUCAGCUGGAGAUUCGUAGUUACGAGAACACAACGAAAAAGACACACAUUAAUCCUG